rnacentral:rRNA from 1 species
UACGUAGGAUGCAAGCGUUGUCCGGAAUUAUUGGGCGUAAAGAGCGCGCAGGCGGUAUGACAAGUCAGAUGUGAAAGAGGCCGGCUUAACCGGCAAGGGUCAUUUGAAACUGUCAGACUAGAGUGCAGCAGAGGAUAGUGGAAUUCCCGGUGUAGUGGUGAAAUGCGUAGAUAUCGGGAGGAACACCAGUGGCGAAGGCGGCUUUCUGGUCUGUAACUGACGCUGAGGCGCGAAAGCGUGGGGAGCAAACAGG